AGCUGAGGGAGCGAAGGGUGGGGUUGGCUCCUCUCCGACGGGCUGCCGCCCCGACGGCUCCCUGUCUUCAGCGGCUGAUGGCUGAGGAGGACCCCGUCAGCUCAUCUGCUGUUUGACCCCGGUCUGCCACUGAAGAGGAACAUCACCCCUAUGGCCACUUGUCCAUCUGACUGCAAGGGGAAAGGAUUGGACACAUGCUCCAGGGUACCUCAGCAAAGUGACCUGAGGAUCAGGAUCCCUUCCUCCAGACCUGCCCCUGACCUCCAGCACAGGACUUUCUAGGUCGACAUCUGAGGAUUUGGUGAGAUUCUGGUAAGG